GAUGAACGCUGGCGGCGUGCCUAAUACAUGCAAGUCGAGCGAACGGACGAGAAGCUUGCUUCUCUGAUGUUAGCGGCGGACGGGUGAGUAACACGUGGAUAACCUACCUAUAAGACUGGGAUAACUUCGGGAAACCGUAGCUAAUACCGGAUAAUAUUUUGAACCGCAUGGUUCAAAAGUGAAAGACGGUCUUGCUGUCACUUAUAGAUGGAUCCGCGCUGCAUUAGCUAGUUGGUAAGGUAACGGCUUACCAAGGCAACGAUGCAUAGCCGACCUGAGAGGGGGAUCGGCGACACUGGAACUGAGACACGGACCAGACUCCUACGGGAGGCAGCAGUAGGGAAUCUGACGCAAUGGGCGAAAGCCUGACGGAGCAACGCCGCGUGAGUGAUGAAGGUCUUCGGAUCGUAAAACUCUGUUAUUAGGGAAGAACAUAUGUGUAAGUAACUGUGCACAUCUUGACGGUAACUAAUCAGAAAGCCACGGCUAACUACGUG
rnacentral:rRNA from 1 species